AGAGUUUGAUCCUGGCUCAGGGUGAACGCUGGCGGCGCGCUUAAUGCAUGCAAGUCGAGCGUGAUCGUGGCUUCGGCCACAAUGAUAAAGCGGCAGACGGCUGAGUAACGCGUGAGUAAUCUGCCCUCCGGUGGGGUAUAACCUCGGGAAACUGAGGAUAAUCCCGCAUACGACCUGCAUCCCUUGGGGUGCAGAUGAAAGGCUUCGGUCGCCGGAGGAGGAGCUCGCGUCCUAUCAGGUUGUUGGUGGGGUAAUGGCCUACCAAGCCGAUGACGGGUAGCUGGUCUGAGAGGAUGACCAGCCAGAGGGGGACUGAGAACGGCCCCCACUCCUACGGGAGGCAGCAGCAGGGAAUCUUGGGCAAUGGGCGAAAGCCUGACCCAGCGACGUCGCGUGGGGGACGAAGGCCUUCGGGUUGUAAACCCCUUUUCCGGGGGAAGAGAAAGGACGGUACCUCGGGAAUAAGCCCCGGCUAACUACGUGCCAGCAGCCGCGGUAAUACGUAGGGGGCAAGCGUUACCCGGAAUCACUGGGCGUAAAGUGCGCGUAGGCGGUUGGAUAAGUCUCUUGUGAAAGCUCCCGGCUCAACUGGGAGAGGUCAAGGGAUACUAUUUGACUAGAGGACAGCAGAGGUAAGCAGAAUUCCCGGUGUAGCGGUGGAAUGCGUAGAUAUCGGGAGGAACACCAGUGGCGAAAGCGGCUUACUGGGCUGUAUCUGACGCUGAGGCGCGAGAGCGUGGGGAGCAAACUGGAUUAGAUACCCAGGUAGUCCACGCCCUAAACGAUGGAUACUAGGUAUGGGGGGUAUUGACCCCCUCCGUGCCGUAGCUAACGCGUUAAGUAUCCCGCCUGGGGACUACGGCCGCAAGGCUAAAACUCAAAGGAAUUGACGGGGGCCCGCACAAGCGGUGGAGCGUGUGGUUUAAUUCGAUGCUAAGCGAAGAACCUUACCUGGGCUUGACAUGUUGGUAGUAGGAACCCGAAAGGGUAACGACCUCGGGGUAACUCGGGGAGCCUUCACAGGUGCUGCAUGGCUGUCGUCAGCUCGUG
rnacentral:rRNA from 1 species